AUGUCAUGGGACAACCGCGUCAUGAUCCCCUUCAACGGCUCCGAGUAUAACCUUCUAUGCUUCCCCGAAGACGGCGUCGGCGUCGUCGGCUCCACGGACUCCUGGCUCGCCGUCGGCCUCGGCACCAAGCAGGAGUUCGAGGAGGGGAUCAAGUGCAUCUACACCGGCUACGUCCUGCACAACCCCUUCUCCGGCACGACCGUGCCGCUCACCGUGCUCAACGACAUCAUCGUCAACAUUGAGACCUGCUUGAUCUACAAGUUCCUCAUGCGCUCCACCGUCGACGACUUGAUCGCCGUCGUGACAAACAAUGAGAAGUACCCGAUCAUCGUGUUCCGGCAAGGGAAAGGAGCGUGGGUGCCACGCCCGUGCACGGCUCCCUACAUCAACAUCAUCGAUGUGGCGUUUUUGGGAAACACACUCUACGCCAUAACCAAGGCUGAGGACCUAAUCCCCCUCAAUCUUGCAUUGGAUGGCGAUGGCAAACCCCUAGUCACCAUUGGCAAGCGUGUUAUCAGGCAACCACCAGGUUAUGAUGGUUAUGAUGCGUGA
rnacentral:rRNA from 1 species